CCUACGGGGGGCAGCAGUGAGGAAUAUUGGUCAAUGGACGAGAGUCUGAACCAGCCAAGUAGCGUGAAGGAUGACUGCCCUAUGGGUUGUAAACUUCUUUUAUAUGGGAAUAAAAUGUUCCACGUGUGGGAUUUUGUAUGUACCUUAUGAAUAAGGAUCGGCUAACUCCGUGCCAGCAGCCGCGGUAAUACGGAGGGUCCGAGCGUUAUCCGGAUUUAUUGGGUUUAAAGGGUGCGUAGGUGGAUUGUUAAGUCAGUUGUGAAAGUUUGCGGCUCAACCGUAAAAUUGCAGUUGAAACUGGCAGUCUUGAGUACAGUAGAGGUGGGCGGAAUUCGUGGUGUAGCGGUGAAAUGCUUAGAUAUCACGAAGAACUCCGAUUGCGAAGGCAGUUCACUGGACUGCAACUGACACUGAGGCUCGAAAGUGUGGGUAUCAAACAGGAUUAGAUACCCUUGUAGUC
rnacentral:rRNA from 1 species